CCAAUCACGCUACAUGAUGACACGUACAUCGACCAUUACAUACUUUAGGAAGAGCCGGAAAAGGUAUGGCUAGCAUCGACAUAUGUUACGCCGUCGCUGCUUAUAAACUUGGUCUCUGAGAAGCGGAAAUUUCA
rfam:Phaeosphaeria nodorum SN15 scaffold_6, whole genome shotgun sequence.